GACGAACGCUGGCGGUAUGCCUAACACAUGCAAGUCGAACGAGAUUAUUUUUUUGUUUCCAAAGAAAUAAUUGCAGUGGCCGAACGGGUGAGGAACACGUAAGAACUUACCUUUUGGCGGGGAUAACAACGGGAAACUGUUGCUAAUACCCCAUAAUGCUGAGGAGCGAAAGGGAAACUGCCAAAAGAGAGGCUUGCGUCUGAUUAGCUAGUUGGCGGAGGUAAAUGCUCCCCAAGGCGACGAUCAGUAGCUGGUCUGAGAGGAUGAUCAGCCACACUGGGACUGAGACACGGCCCAGACUCCUACGGGAGGCAGCAGUGGGAAUUUUCCACAAUGGGCGAAAGCCUGAUGGAGCAAUACCGCGUGAAGGAUGAAGGAUCGUGGUCCGUAAACUUCUUUCUUAACGAAGAAYUCUGCGGUAGUUAAGA
rnacentral:rRNA from 1 species